UCGGCUUCGCAGAUAGGCUGUACCAGUUUGUAGGCUUCAUCGUUUCCAGAGGUUUUGCGUCAUGCGGACUUUAUGCCUCGUCGUACCUACGAUUACGCAGUCGCUCCACCUCAGCAGUAUUGACAAGAUGCUGCAGAACCGAAAAGCCCUACAGGUAUGAAAAACAAGAACGCAUCAGGAUCGCCAUCUUCUUCAGCAUCAUAACUGCAGAUGCCUCGGAUAUCUGACGCCUUCAUUCCGGGAACGGUUAAAAGUUGCUGGCAGAGUUCCAAAGUUGGGGGAAGAGCGGAAACACUCACGCUCCAGCUAGGAGAGAGAUGCC